rnacentral:tRNA from 1 species
GAGCAUGCGGUUCAUACCCGCAGAGUCGUCAGUUCGAUUCUGACCGCCGCCACCA